UCGUUCUGUUGACGAGUGUUCAUUAGCUUAAAUAUAUUUUGUGCUUAUUAAUCCAUCUUCAUGUGUGCUCAAUACAGGAACAUCAUUAAAUGCUGACUGCACAGUAUAAAUACCAUUUAAUGCUGUGUGGUCGUCAACAAAAUUGAACCAAUUGAUAUGUCUGAAUUAAUAGAAGCAAUAGUCAAUUUACUUUCAAAAACGUUUGCUACAAGUUCUAUGUCUAUAACAUUACAACAAAAACUCAAACAUUACCUCUCCUCUACUACAUAGUAUUGUUCUACAUAAAUUAGUUUAACACGUAAUCUUCUGUCCAACUCAAGUUGUUGUGUGUAUAAUAUGGAAGCUAUAUCACAGCAAAGAUUGUUACAGUAAAACACGGAGCAACUUCAACAUCACACAUGCAAGACAAAUUAUCAUCUAAUUCAGUUAUCCAUCAAGAAUUCAUUGACAAUCAACUUACAUUAUUAAAACCUAUCCCUCCCACAAAUUAAUCAAACUCAUCCGAAUUCUCAGAAGUAAAGAGACCAUUAAUUACAAAAUGUAUUUCAUUAGAAUGAAAGUCAGAUACCCAUGAUUUCAAUUCAGAUAAUAAUACAAAUGCUUCGCAAUGUAAGAUAAUUAAUGAUGGCAAUACUAAAUAAUUUAAAAAGGAAGAUAACGGAUUCGUUUAUGAAAUGUCUAAUACUGUUGAACUUCCUCGGUUUUUUUGGAAUAGUCUACAACUUAGUGCACACAAUGCGACAGCUUUUAGUCAAUAAUUUUUUUUUGAAGAAACAGUGUAAAAACUUCAUUUUUAUAAUAGCCUUGUGCCAGUUAUACAAAUAUAUGGAAAAAAGUUCAAAUAUAAUAAGCCUGUUACAACAAAGAAUGAGUUGGAAAAUCUUUUAGAAAAAAUAGAUAAUAUUGAAAAAUGUUCUGGUUUGGUUUUAUCUAUAAAAAAUGUAUAGGUUAUUUUGAAGAUAGUUCAGAAGAUAUUUAUACCUUUAUUACUUGGGUAUCAUCAUGGACCAGAGGUUUACGUUUGCCAAACACAUGGAAAUUGUCACCAAAUAACCCUCCUGCCCAGCGGCCGCACUGGCUAGGCUCAUGGCCAACGUUAGAGAUCCAUGCCAGUGAAAUCGGAGACUGUUGUGUUCAGUAGUCGAGAGCCAGGUGUUGUACCUGUUUGGAUAAAUCGAGUGGUUGUCUCGGGCAGGACAAGGUCUAUACUGAUAAUACCGCAGAAGACAGCAGUCCUUAGGGUCAUCUCAGCGUACCGUACAGUUUCCGACGAGGCAUCGCUAUUUCUGACUGUCAUGCCACCGGCCGACCUCCUAAGCCUGGAGAGGUUGAAAAUUAGGGCUUGCCUGCACGCUCUUAUCCUUCCCGGAGAUUCACCUGAUCUGUCCAAGUAUUCUGUCAGAAGGAACGCAAGACGACGGUUGUCCAAGUAUAUGUCACGUCAUUCCUGUUGUCGGAAGUGGAUAGGAAGAACGAUACCGAAGAUGCAACUGACAUAUCACAUGACCCGGGAAUGGCUGCUUCCAGCACUACCUGCACCAGAUGGGUAGGGCUGCCAGUGCAUGGUGUAAUCACUAUGGCAGCAAAGCCAACACUUCCGAAUACACAUUGUGGCGCACCUCAAGCCGCUUACUGACCUCUGAGUCUUUCAACUAAAACUGUGUGGUCUUGAUUUAGAGGGUCUACCCUCUGACUAGGAACAAAAGAUGACAGUCCUCACGGACGCUGAAGAAUUUCCGGGUGUUCUACGCGAUGUUGGAAAAAAUCCUGACUGCAAAGAAUGGCAAGGCAGACGGCCGAGAGGAGGUGACACGAUCCUUCCGCUAAGCGUCUGACGACUCCCCUCCCACCAAGGAGUACGAGUCAAAAGAGUGGUGUACUUAUGCCGGCUCGCAAACAGGCAGUCAGAAUGGAACGUCAAGGACGGAGGGCUAAGGCUUAAGAUUUGAAGUAAAUAUGUAAAAGUUCACUGAAAGUAAAUAUUAUGCAAAAUCUAUAUUGCGUCAUCUAAAUCAAUAAUAGGUGCAUUGCACUUUCAAUAACUGGAAGCCUGCUCGUCGUUUCAUUUAUUUCUCGGGACCACAUUGCCACAGUCAAUGCAUCAUUAGCUAAUUUUUUAGAUUCUUUCAAUAUUCCUAGACCUGGUGGAAUUUGAUGAUCAAUCUAAAAGUGAAUUGCUUCUUCUCAAGGGAAACAUUGAAAGGCUGUUGAAAAUUAAUAGAAGUUUUAUUAACAUGUGUCUAUCAAUAUGUGAUGAAUAGAAUUCAAGAUGGCAACCAAAUUGGCUGUAAUACAUUCACUCUGAAAAGUGGAAUAUUCUUUUACUUCCAAUUAUGUUUAUAGCAAUUUAAUGCUAGACAUAGUUUAUCGGGAACAUAUUUGAGACAUUGUAAUCAUCCUGAUCCUAUAGCAAUUCUAUACCAAGGAGAACCAUUUUUAUGUGCUAACUUUGUUCAAUUUAAAUGCCAAUUAGCCACAGCCUUGGCACAUUAGCUGUGGGAUUAAAGUUUGUUUGCCAAGGCUGAGGUAUUUAGACUGUUCCAAGUUGACUUAUAAAAACAACAGACCUUGUCACAUCAGAGUUGUCACUAUUUCAGAACAAUAAGAUUAUAUGAAAUAUAACCCCAAAAAUAGAUGGGUAUUGAGAUAAAAUUAUAACGUGAUUUAACCAACUAAUGAAUAAAAAUGUUGUUUGCAGUAAUUAGAUUUUUAAAUUAAAAUUGAUCUGUUUAUUUUUUUUUUAUUUGUCAUAUUUUAA